AACGAACGCUGGCGGCAUGCCUAACACAUGCAAGUCGAACGAGACCUUCGGGUCUAGUGGCGCACGGGUGCGUAACGCGUGGGAACCUGCCCUUAGGUUCGGAAUAACUCCCCGAAAGGGGUGCUAAUACCGGAUAAUGUCUUCGGACCAAAGAUUUAUCGCCUUUGGAUGGGCCCGCGUUGGAUUAGCUAGUUGGUAGGGUAAAAGCCUACCAAGGCGACGAUCCAUAGCUGGUCUGAGAGGAUGAUCAGCCACACUGGGACUGAGACACGGCCCAGACUCCUACGGGAGGCAGCAGGGGGGAAUAUUGGACAAUGGGCGAAAGCCUGAUCCAGCAAUGCCGCGUGAGUGAUGAAGGCCUUAGGGUUGUAAAGCUCUUUUACCCGGGAUGAUAAUGACAGUACCGGGAGAAUAAGCUCCGGCUAACUCCGU
rnacentral:rRNA from 1 species